rnacentral:rRNA from 1 species
CCCACCGUGGCGACGAUGCGUAGGGGUUCUGAGAGGAAGGUCCCCCACACUGGUACUGAGACACGGACCAGACUCCUACGGGAGGCAGCAGUGAGGAAUAUUGGUCAAUGGGAGAGAUCCUGAACCAGCCAAGCCGCGUGAGGGAAGACGGCCCUAUGGGUUGUAAACCUCUUUUGUCGGAGAACAAAACCCGGGACGAGUCCCGGACUGCGUGUAUCCGAAGAAAAAGCAUCGGCUAACUCCGUGCCAGCAGCCGCGGUAAUACGGAGGAUGCGAGCGUUAUCCGGAUUUAUUGGGUUUAAAGGGUGCGUAGGCGGUCUGUUAAGUCAGCGGUAAAAUUGCGGGGCUCAACCCCGUCGAGCCGUUGAAACUGGCAGACUUGAGUUGGCGAGAAGUACGCGGAAUGCGCGGUGUAGCGGUGAAAUGCAUAGAUAUCGCGCAGAACUCCGAUUGCGAAGGCAGCGUACCGGCGCCAGACUGACGCUGAGGCACGAAAGCGUGGGGAUCGAACAGGAUUAGAUACCCUGGUAGUCCACGCAGUAAACGAUGAAUGCUGGUUGUCCGGGUCGAAUGAGACCUGG